UACGUAGGUGGCAAGCGUUGUCCGGAUUUAUUGGGUUUAAAGGGUGCGUAGGCGGUUUUUUAAGUCAGUGCUGAAAUACUCCAGCUUAACUGGAGGGGUGGCAUUGAUACUGGAAGACUUGAGUACAGAUGAGGUAGGCGGAAUUGACGGUGUAGCGGUGAAAUGCAUAGAUAUCGUCAAGAACACCGAUAGCGAAGGCAGCUUACUGGGCUGUAACUGACGCUGAUGCACGAAAGUGUGGGGAUCAAACAGGA
rnacentral:rRNA from 1 species